rnacentral:lncRNA from 1 species
GACGAACGUCUUUAGGGUGCAGGUUCCGUUUUCCAACUCGAUUGGAGGUUAUUCGAAAGGGGUAUCAUGUCAUGUAUGGGUUACGUCAUGGGCAUGUAUGGGAAUAGUCGAAUUGACUUGUAAUGUAGCUUGAAAUUCUAAUUGCAUUUGAAUGUUUUUUAUGGGAAUUGAAUGUAAAUGAGAUGGUUUAUGACUGGUUUAGAAGUGAAUCGAAUGGUUCAUGCUUGGAAUGGAUGUAAUUUUGGGAAAUUGGAAUUGAAAUUUAUGGUUUGUACGAA